GAUGAACGCUGGCGGCGUGCCUAAUACAUGCCAGUCGAGCGAACAGACGAGGCGCUUGCUCCGCUCACGUUAGCGGCGGACGGGUGAGUAACGCGUGUAUAACCUACCUAUAAGACUGGGAUCACUUCGGGAAACCGGAGCUAAUACCGGAUAAUAUCUUGAACCGCAUGGUUCAAUAGUGAAAGACGGUUUUGCUGUCACUUAUAGCUGGAUCCGCGCCGCAUUAGCUAGUUGGUAAGGUAACGGCUUACCAAGGCAACGAUGCGUAGCCGACCUGAGAGGGUGAUCGGCCACCCUGGAACUGGGACGCGGUCCAGACUCCUACGGGAGGCAGCAGUAGGGAAUCUGCCGCAAUGGGCGAAAGCCUGACGGAGCAGCGCCGCGUGAGAUAUGAAGGUCUUGGGAUCGGAAAACUCGGUUAUGAGGGAAGAACAAAUGUGUAAGUAACUAUGCACGUCUUGACGGUACCUAAUCAGAAAGCCCCGGCUAACUACGUG
rnacentral:rRNA from 1 species